GACGAACGCUGGCGGCGUGCUUAACACAUGCAAGUCGAACGGUAAGGCCCUUCGGGGUACACGAGUGGCGAACGGGUGAGUAACACGUGGGUGAUCUGCCCUGCACUUCGGGAUAAGCCUGGGAAGCUGGGUCUAAUACCGGAUAGGACCCUGGGAUGCAUGUCCUGGGGUGGAAAGCUUUUGCGGUGUGGGAUGGGCCCGCGGCCUAUCAGCUUGUUGGUGGGGUGAUGGCCUACCAAGGCGACGACGGGUAGCCGGCCUGAGAGGGUGACCGGCCACACGGGGACGAAGAUAGAGCCCAGACUCCUACGGGAGGCAGCAGUGGGGAAUAUUGCACAAUGGGCGCAAGCCUGAUGCAGCGACGCCGCGUGAGGGAUGACGGCCUUCGGGUUGUAAACCUCUUUCAGCUAUGACGAAGCGCAAGUGACGGUAGUAGCAGAAGAAGGACCGGCCAACUACGUGCCAGCCGCCGCCGUAA
rnacentral:rRNA from 1 species